UACGGGGGGGGCAAGCGUUGUUCGGAAUUACUGGGCGUAAAGCGCGUGUAGGCGGCUCGGCAAGUCGGGUGUGAAAGCCCUGGGCUUAACCUAGGAAGUGCACUCGAAACUGCCAAGCUUGAGUUCUGGAGAGGAAGGCGGAAUUCUCGGUGUAGAGGUGAAAUUCGUAGAUAUCAGGAGGAACACCAAUUGCGAAGGCAGCUCGCUGGGACGUUACUGACGCUGAGACGCGAAAGCGUGGGGAGCAAACAGG
rnacentral:rRNA from 1 species